AGAGUUUGAUCCUGGCUCAGGAUGAACGCUGGCGGCGUGCCUAACACAUGCAAGUCGAACGGAGUUAUGAGAGCUUGCUUUUAUAACUUAGUGGCGGACGGGUGAGUAAUGCGUGAGCAACCUGCCUUUCAGAGGGGGACAACAGUUGGAAACGACUGCUAAUACCGCAUAACGUAUUCGGAUGGCAUCAUCUGGAUACCAAAGGAGCAAUCCGCUGAAAGAUGGGCUCACGUCUGAUUAGUUAGUUGGCAGGGUAACGGCCUACCAAGACUGCGAUCAGUAGCCGGACUGAGAGGGUGAUCGGCCACAUUGGGACUGAGACACGGCCCACACUCCUACGGGAGGCAGCAGUGGGGAAUAUUGCACAAUGGGGGAAACCCUGAUGCACCAACGCCGCGUGAGUGAUGACGGUCUUCGGAUUGUAAAGCUCUGUCUUCAGGGACGAUAAUGACGGUACCUGACUAAGAAGCCCCGGCUAACUACGUGCCAGCAGCCGCGGUAAUACGUAGGUGGCAAGCGUUAUCCGGAUUUACUGGGUGUAAAGGGAGCGUAGACGGCAUGGCAAGUCUGAAGUGAAAGCUCGGGGCUCAACCCAGAAACUGCUUUUGAAACUGUUUCCCUUGAGUAUCGGAGAGGCAGGCGGAAUUCCUAGUGUAGCGGUGAAAUGCGUAGAUAUUAGGAAGAACACCGGUGGCGAAGGCGGCCUGCUGGACGACAACUGACGCUGAGGCGCGAAAGCGUGGGGAGCAAACAGGAUUAGAUACCCUGGUAGUCCACGCUGUAAACGAUGAAUACUAGGUGUGGGGGGACUGACCCCUUCCGUGCCGCAGUUAACACAAUAAGUAUUCCUCCUGGGGAGUACGAUCGCAAGAUUGAAACUCAAAGGAAUUGACGGGGGCCCGCACAAGCAGUGGAUUAUGUGGUUUAAUUCGACGCAACGCGAAGAACCUUACCAGGAUUUGACAUCCCGCUAACGAAGUAGAGAUACAUUAGGUGCCUUUCGGGGAAAGCGGAGACAGGUGGUGCAUGGUUGUCGUCAGCUCGUGUCGUGAGAUGUUGGGUUAAGUCCCGCAACGAGCGCAACCCUUACGGUCAGUUGCUACGCAAGAGCACUCUGGCCGGACUGCCGUUGACAAAACGGAGGAAGGUGGGGACGACGUCAAAUCAUCAUGCCCCUUACGCCCUGGGCUACACACGUACUACAAUGGCGCAAACAAAGGGAAGCAAAACCGCGAGGUAGAGCAAAACCCAUAAAAGGCGUCCCAGUUCGGACUGCAGGCUGCAACUCGCCUGCACGAAGUUGGAAUUGCUAGUAAUCGCGGAUCAGCAUGCCGCGGUGAAUACGUUCCCGGGCUUUGUACACACCGCCCGUCAAG
rnacentral:rRNA from 1 species